UACGAAGGGGGCUAGCGUUGCUCGGAAUCACUGGGCGUAAAGGGUGCGUAGGCGGGUCUUUAAGUCAGAGGUGAAAUCCCGGGGCUCAACCCCGGAACUGCCUUUGAAACUGGAGAGCUAGAAUCUUGGAGAGGCGAGUGGAAUUCCGAGUGUAGAGGUGAAAUUCGUAGAUAUUCGGAAGAACACCAGUGGCGAAGGCGACUCGCUGGACAAGUAUUGACGCUGAGGUGCGAAAGCGUGGGGAGCAAACAGG
rnacentral:rRNA from 1 species